GAUGAACGCGGCGGCGUGCUUAACCCAUGCAAGUCGAACGAAGCUGCUUGAAAGAAGUUUCGGGAUGAAAUUUAGGUUGAUUUAGUGGCGGGACGGGUGAGUAACGCGUGGAUAACCUGCCUUAUACAGGGGGAUAACGGAGAGAAAUUUUCCGCUAACACCGCAUAAGACCACAGCACCGCAUGGUGCAGGGGUAAAAUAUUUAUAGGUAUAAGAUGGAUCCGCGUCCGAUUAGCUAGUUGGUGAGGUAAAGGCCCACCAAGGCGACGAUCGGUAGCCGGCCUGAGAGGGUGAACGGCCACAUUGGGACUGAGACACGGCCCAAACUCCUACGGGAGGCAGCAGUGGGGAAUAUUGGACAAUGGGGGAAACCCUGAUCCAGCGACGCCGUGUGAGUGAAGAAGUAUUUCGGUAUGUAAAGCUCUAUCAGCAGGGAAGAAAAUGACGGUACCUGACUAAGAAGCCCCGGCUAACUACGUGCCAGCAGCCGCGGUAAUACGUAGGGGGCAAGCGUUAUCCGGAUUUACUGGGUGUAAAGGGAGCGCAGACGGCAAUGCAAGUCUGAAGUGAAAGGCGUGGGCUCAACCCAUGAACUGCUUUGGAAACUGUAUAGCUUGAGUGUCGGAGGGGUAAGCGGAAUUCCUAGUGUAGCGGUGAAAUGCGUAGAUAUUAGGAGGAACACCGGAGGCGAAGGCGGCUUACUGGACGACAACUGACGUUGAGGCUCGAAGGCGUGGGGAGCAAACAGG
rnacentral:rRNA from 1 species